CACAGGCCUUGGGCCUACGGCUCUGGGGGUACUUGGGGGGGCGGGGGCAGGUCUGAUGAGUAACCCCUCCCCCCAGGUUCCAGAGGAAGAAGCCUCCACAUCUGUCUGCCGGCCCAAGAGUUCCAUGGCCUCCACUUCCCGCCGCCAACGCCGAGAACGUCGCUUUCGUCGUUACUUGUCUGCAGGACGGCUGGUCCGGGCCCAGGCCCUCCUCCAGCGACACCCAGGCCUCGAUGUAGAUGCUGGGCAGCCCCCACCACUGCACCGGGCCUGUGCCCGCCACGAUGCCCCUGCCCUGUGCCUGCUGCUUCGGCUCGGGGCUGACCCUGCCCACCAGGACCGCCAUGGGGACACGGCACUGCAUGCUGCUGCCCGCCAGGGCCCAGAUGGUCAGCAGUCAUUUGGAAAGAGCUUGCUCUGCCGCCGGCCAUAGUUGUUGCCGGUUCACCUCCCCACCCCUCUCCCAUCAUCCCCUGCCUACACCGAUUUCUUCCUCCCGCUGCUAAGCCGCUGUCCCUCCGCCAUGGGAAUAAAGAAUAAGGAUGGGGAGACCC
rnacentral:sRNA from 1 species